rnacentral:rRNA from 1 species
UACGGAGGGAGCUAGCGUUAUUCGGAAUUACUGGGCGUAAAGCGCACGUAGGCGGCUUUGUAAGUUAGAGGUGAAAGCCUGGAGCUCAACUCCAGAAUUGCCUUUAAGACUGCAUCGCUUGAAUCCAGGAGAGGUGAGUGGAAUUCCGAGUGUAGAGGUGAAAUUCGUAGAUAUUCGGAAGAACACCAGUGGCGAAGGCGGCUCACUGGACUGGUAUUGACGCUGAGACGCGAAAGCGUGGGGAGCAAACAGG